rnacentral:rRNA from 1 species
UGCAGUCGAGCGGAUGAGAGGAGCUUGCUCCUGGAUUCAGCGGCGGACGGGUGAGUAAUGCCUAGGAAUCUGCCUGGUAGUGGGGGACAACGUUUCGAAAGGAACGCUAAUACCGCAUACGUCCUACGGGAGAAAGCAGGGGACCUUCGGGCCUUGCGCUAUCAGAUGAGCCUAGGUCGGAUUAGCUAGUUGGUGAGGUAAUGGCUCACCAAGGCGACGAUCCGUAACUGGUCUGAGAGGAUGAUCAGUCACACUGGAACUGAGACACGGUCCAGACUCCUACGGGAGGCAGCAGUGGGGAAUAUUGGACAAUGGGCGAAAGCCUGAUCCAGCCAUGCCGCGUGUGUGAAGAAGGUCUUCGGAUUGUAAAGCACUUUAAGUUGGGAGGAAGGGCAGUAAAUUAAUACUUUGCUGUUUUGACGUUACCGACAGAAUAAGCACCGGCUAACUCUGUGCCAGCAGCCGCGGUAAUACAGAGGGUGCAAGCGUUAAUCGGAAUUACUGGGCGUAAAGCGCGCGUAGGUGGUUUGUUAAGUUGGAUGUGAAAUCCCCGGGCUCAACCUGGGAACUGCAUCCAAAACUGGCAAGCUAGAGUAUGGUAGAGGGUGGUGGAAUUUCCUGUGUAGCGGUGAAAUGCGUAGAUAUAGGAAGGAACACCAGUGGCGAAGGCGACCACCUGGACUGAUACUGACACUGAGGUGC